CAUAUGGCUAAAAGAUGUACACACACUUCCAUCUAGCCACCUCAGAACCCAAUCUGGACACUGCUCAGGAAAAGGGGGAGGGUGAGUCUGAGAAGUGACAUCUACAAAGGCACCAUUCGACCACAAAAUUGAGUUUACGAACAAAUACCAACAGCAGAGAAGGGGAACCAUGGUUUCAGUUCCCCCUUCUCUAGAAGGAGUCCUCUUUUCAAAGAUGCCCACAGUCUGCAUUCAAUGACCAUUUCAGGGCAGGAGCCUGUGCCCGCGCCCUAGUACCAGAAUCAGGAAGCAGCUCCAUUCAGAGGCAGCAAGUCAGGAGCAAAUCACUUAUCACUACUCUACUCCUGCGCACGGAAUACCCACUACCUGAGUUAGGUGAGUGUGUGACUCCCCAGGAAUCUUUAAAUUGUGGAAAGGAAACUAUGAGACAAUGUAUGCCCAGUACUGAAAUAAGUAAGGUGUCUGAAAUGACAAGUGCUCUGUAAAUAUUAAUUACUAUUAUUACCAUAUUUCCUCGACUCUAAGCCUUAAGUGUUUCAAAAUUUUAGCAUUUCUGUAACGGAGUUCACCUUAAAAUCUCUAUACAUGUACUGGUUUUUCCUAUCCUUCUGCCCCUUGGGCUUUCAUAAAACGAACAGUGAGUCUCAUAGUUGAUGCUGUCUUGGAAUCCAGGAAAUACAGUUUUGGUGCCCCAACCAGUCAGUGGGAACAUGAAGCAAGAGCCAAAUACGCACCAAAGGCCUCUGGGUGCAUGGGGUUAAAACAUAAGGGUUCGGGCGGUGGAAGAGAGAGAAGGAUGUGGCAGAGGCGGCAGGUCAGGAGAGGGCCAGAACCGAGACAGGAAAAUGUCAGGUGACCAUACCCACAUCAAAGACAAAAAUGAGAAAGGCAGUCUAGGAAGGCGACACGGGUCCCUGGGCGAGAGGAAGCGGACUGGCACCAGGCUGGACUAGGAAGCUGUAAGGUGUCAGCGGAGCCUGCGGAGGAUGGAACAAAGGAGACCCCUCGCGGCGGGGGAGACAGUCACCUGGCGGAGGACGAACGCGGCGAGCAGGGCAGGGAAGUUCCUGGGUUCCCGUAAAGCGAUGAGACGUUGUGAAUUCGAAGUAGGUGGGAGAGAAGAGGGACGCGUGGUCUGCAACCAAGACGCCACGGGAUCAGAUGCACCCACCCCUGCUGAGGCCCGUGACCAUCUAAAGGGAACGUCAUUUGAGAGGCCCUACUCAUGGAUGAGAAGCCCUCUCUCCACUGUGGGCUGUGCUGGGUUGGCGGGGCAUUGCCGUGGAAUCAGGGUUUCCUCAGCACCCACAUCGGGCCACUCUCAUAAGAUAGGGUGAUUCCAACAUUCGCGGUUCCCAACAGCCCAGAUGCCCCACAUACAACUCUUGAGCCCACUGGGAGCUCUCCAUGCCCGUUCACAUGUCCCUCUUGCAAGUAGCCCGAUCCGCUGACCUGGUGUUCACGGGCACUAAGAUGUUAAUGGAUUUUCCCUGGUCACCUUUGCAGCUCCACUGUUUUGAGUGGGUUAUUUUAAGGGCAGAAGGUGCUCCCCAGAGGGUUGUCACAAGUGAUAUUUUUCCUUUGUGUCUGCCAGGUUAGCCCCCUUCACCUGUAAGAGCUUGGAGCCUAGAUUUGUCAUUCAUUUGUUCAAGUUUACUGAGUGGUGUCAUGCCAGGCACUUCUUUAGAUACUAAAGAUAAGGCAGGAAACACAAUAUAGACUCUAGGGAUGUGGAACUUAACAUUCCAGUGGGGAUAAAGAGAUGAUACAUGAGUAAAUGUAGAUGAGAUGGAGACCGAUGUUACAAGAAAUGUAGACUAGGGUAAGAAUAGAGCGGCGGAGGAGGUGCUGCCUUAUACAUGAUGGUCAGGGACAGGUCUACCCUUAAUAUUUGCAAGAACUGAGUCAGUACAAAUGGAGGCCCACAUAUGCUGUCUCCAUAUUUUAAAACUACAAACCAAAUAAACCAUGAUAGAAAAUUCCUGUCCUUUUAUCUUGACAUCUAUACCUUCAUCAUAAUCUGGAAGGCCACAUUUACAUUUAGGAUUCUUGGACCCUUCUGAGAUAUGCCCUUGAAUGCAGUGCUUUGGAGGGGGAACUGGUCCUUGGCCCUCAGCCUGCCUUCUCUUGGCACCUUAGCUCUGUCCCAUACUUCAAAUGGCCUUGUGCCCACACCUAUAACAACUCUGUCUGCACAUCAGAGUUUUGUCCACACCUCCUACAAAUAGCCUCUCCUUGACCACCACUCGCUCCUCAGGAGGACAGACCUUGGGAAAGGGCUGAUGCAGGCUGCAGCUGGUAACCUGUUGCUAUUGGAGCAGUAGGUUUUAGGGUCCCAGGUACUCACAGUGUGCUCUAAAAAGGGGAGAGGGGCAAGAGCUUUGGGUACAUCCCACUGGGCUUCUUGCUCUGUGGAAAAGAACAUUGAUGGAAGAGGAUCAGGUGCUCAGAACCCUAGAUUGGGUCACCUCUUGCGGCUGUCUUAAGGCAGUUUUAAAGAGGUAACUUUGAGCCAAAGACCUAAAUGAAGUAUGGGAGGAAGGCUUGUAGCAAUCUGGGUUAGGAGCAUUCCAGGAAGAGGUCCAGAGGUUGGAGCUUUUACUCCCUUCGUGUGUUCAUAAUCUCUCUGCCCCAUGUCUUAAACUGCAUAAAGAAAUUAUGUGUUAACCAACUGGGGUGUCAGUACCUUGCUAACUCUCCUCCCCCACGACACAGCCAAUUCCAGUUGCUGGGUACACCCCGGGGACUCACUCCCUGUACAGCUUCUGCUCUCCAACGCUUCUCACUACUAACAGCUUCUGGGACCAGAAUGGAUGGUCCUCUAGCAACCUUGGCUUCCAUGGGUUGGAAGUACUCCAGCGGCUAGCUCAGGUUCCAAUAAAAUUAGGUACCUUCAAAUGUCUCUGUUGUUAAACAGUGUUGUAGUUCUCAUCCCCGUGGGCCUAGAAAUUAAGGAGACAAUGUCUACUGAACAUACUGAAUGAGAAAGUCACCCCAGAUAAAUACACAAAGAUUUGCUUGUUUGCAUAUCUGUUUCAGAGCAUCAGAAAUGGAAAAGAAUACAAACUAUUUGAAUGGAGUAGGGACAAGUUUCUUGCCAGUGGGGCCAAAAAGGUUUAGGACUGAGUUUUAAAGUCUGGUGUUUCUGUAUCUCAUCUGAAGAGGAAUUUUCAACUUUAAAGUCUUGGAAGCCUUUGUUUAAACAGAACCUUGAAAGGAAACUUAAACAGAUAAGAGCAAGAACAAAAUUAUAACCUAGAGUAAAACUCACUUUCUGUGGUCAAUGGGGACCCUAGGCCUCUAUUUGACAAUCACUGGUUUAGAAUCAAGAACAGAAAUCACAACUUGCCCUUCCUGGAACUUCGGGGAUGAAAAGGUUACAGAAAAGGAAAUUUACUCAGGAAUGGGUGUACAGAGAGGAGGGGUGCUGAGGAAAGCCCUGGAGGCUGGAGGGGGCACUUAGAAAUUCCUACCCAAGUUCCCUGUUCCCCCUUUCCACAUAU